CUUCCUUCUCCUCCUCCACUUCCUCCUUCUUUUCCCCCCCCAUAGCCCAGGUCUUUGAGUAACCUGAUUACUUCUGUGUUCCUACCCAGUUCCAGUGAAUGAGGAAAAAGGCAAGCACCAUUUUACAUUUAAUUGCCACAAGGAAAAUUACUUAUAAAAGCCUCCGUUUUCUGUCUUUUAACAACAGAUUUUAUGUGUACGAGUGUUUGCCUGCGUACAUGCACAUGCACCCAACCACUUGCAUGCCUAUUUUCCUGAGGAGGCCAGGAGAGGUUUUGGAAACCCUGAAAUGGAGAUUAUAGAUGCUUGUAAACUAGCCACUCAGUGCUGGCAUCGGAACCCAGGUCCUCUGUUUGGUUUAUUAGAAUAGAAAAGUGAAAAGCUAUAGUCUGAGCUUUGAUUUUAAGAUAAAUGUUUAAACAGUCUGGUCUCAUGACUUUACAGAAACAAUAAAAUUGUAUAAUACUUCUUUAAAACCACAGUUCUUUUGA
rnacentral:lncRNA from 1 species